GUGUCAGCAGCCGCGGUAAGACGGAGGAUGCAAGCGUUAUCCGGAAUGAUUGGGCGUAAAGCGUCCGCAGGUGGCAAUUCAAGUCUGCUGUUAAAGCGCAGGGCUUAACUCUGUAAAGGCAGUGGACACUGAAUAGCUAGAGUGUGGUAGGGGCAGAGGGAAUUCCCAGUGUAGCGGUGAAAUGCGUAGAGAUUGGGAAGAACAUCGGUGGCGAAGGCGCUCUGCUGGACCAUAACUGACACUCACAGGACGAAAGCUAGGGGAGCGAAUGGGAUUAGAUACCCCAGUAGUCCUAGCCGUAAACGAUGGAUACUAGGGGUUGUCUGUAUCGACCCGGACAGUGCCGUAGCUAACGCGUUAAGUAUCCCGCCUGGGGAGUACGCACGCAAGUGUGAAACUCAAAUGAAUUGGCGGGG
rnacentral:rRNA from 1 species